GAUAUAAUUCCAAACUCCAGUAGUAUUAGUAACAAUUAUUAUCAAUAUUUUCUGACAGUAAAAAAAAAGGGAAGAAAAUGGCCCUCACUUCAAAGGUGUGAAGGCAAAACUUCAACGUCUUUCAACCCUAAUAUUCCGCACAAUUCUGGAAACAACGAUUUUCUGAUCUCUGCAUACGCUUUACCAUCCCAACGCUUUUUUCCCAGCUCCUCCGCCAGUUGCACCGCCGCAUCCACCGUCUCCUCCGCCGUACCAUGCGCCGAAUCCACCAUUCCCAUCCUCACCGCAUCCUCUCCUCUAAUCUUCGACGUUUUCAACACCAAAUCUCGCCGAGCAACUGCCGAUCCAAUCUUAGACCUAAUCAUCGCCGUGAAAUAAUCCGGCAAAGUCAUCCCUAUAUCCAAUUCACUCAUAUACAACACGCCUUUA
rnacentral:misc_RNA from 1 species